ensembl:lncRNA
AUUUACUCAGGGUUUUCCACUGAUCUUUCUGUCAUCUGAUAGUAGUGAGAAUAACAAGGCCAGAGACUAUAAAGUCCAAGACCAGGAAAUAAACUUGGCAAGUAAAUGAUGAGAAUACAAGGGUGAACAUCUCUGUUUAUUGAUUGACAAAUGGUGCUGAUGCAAGAUGAAGCACGCUGCAUAUGUCAUUGCCGUUUCUUACAUCAGACUCACAGGUGCCCCACUCUCUCAGAACCCAGAGGAAUUCAGGUGAAGCCUUUGCGAGGUGGAUUAACAGCCCAAAACACAACCUUAUGCCAAGCUCCUACGUCAGAGAAAAUCAUUUCAACCUUCAUCCAGAAAUUAAAUGGUUAUUGAUUGAUAUGGAAGAUACUGUAACCUUUCAGAUUAAAUUAAGAAAUGUUGCUGAACACAAUUAAAGUUUUUCUAAUGUAAAGCAGUUUGCAAAGUGCAUUUUUGACUAAAUUCCAUCUCUGAGGUUAAUUACCAUGUCUAGGGUCCAGGAAUAAUAGAUUAAGUGGAAAGUUGGCUCCAAAAGUUAAAGAAU